rnacentral:rRNA from 1 species
GACGAACGCUGGCGGCGUGCCUAAUACAUGCAAGUUGAGCGAUGAAGAUUGGUGCUUGCACCAAUUUGAAGAGCAGCGAACGGGUGAGUAACGCGUGGGGAAUCUGCCUUUGAGCGGGGGACAACAUUUGGAAACGAAUGCUAAUACCGCAUAACAACUUUAAACAUAAGUUUUAAGUUUGAAAGAUGCAAUUGCAUCACUCAAAGAUGAUCCCGCGUUGUAUUAGCUAGUUGGUGAGGUAAAGGCUCACCAAGGCGAUGAUACAUAGCCGACCUGAGAGGGUGAUCGGCCACAUUGGGACUGAGACACGGCCCAAACUCCUACGGGAGGCAGCAGUAGGGAAUCUUCGGCAAUGGACGAAAGUCUGACCGAGCAACGCCGCGUGAGUGAAGAAGGUUUUCGGAUCGUAAAACUCUGUUGGUAGAGAAGAACGUUGGUGAGAGUGGAAAGCCCAUCAAGUGACGGUAACUACCCAGAAAGGGACGGCUAACUACGUG